GAUGGCGACCGGCGCACGGGUGAGUAACACGUAUCCAACCUGCCGAUGACUCGGGGAUAGCCUUUCGAAAGAAAGAUUAAUACCCGAUGGCAUAGUUCUUCCGCAUGGUGGAACUAUUAAAGAAUUUCGGUCAUCGAUGGGGAUGCGUUCCAUUAGGCAGUUGGUGGGGUAACGGCCCACCAAACCUUCGAUGGAUAGGGGUUCUGAGAGGAAGGUCCCCCACAUUGGAACUGAGACACGGUCCAAACUCCUACGGGAGGCAGCAUG
rnacentral:rRNA from 1 species